rnacentral:misc_RNA from 1 species
GAUGAAGAACGCAGCGAAAUGCGAUAAGUAAUGUGAAUUGCAGAAUUCAGUGAAUCAUCGAAUCUUUGAACGCACAUUGCGCCCGCCAGUAUUCUGGCGGGCAUGCCUGUUCGAGCGUCAUUUCCACCAUCAGGCCCCCGGGCCUGUGUUGGGGACCUGCGGCUGCCCGCAGGCCCCGAAAUUCAGUGGCGGUCGCGCCGUAGCAACCGAGCGUAGUAACUAAAACGUCUCGCUCUGGCUCGCUGGGCGCGCUCCGGCCGUAAAACACCCCCCCUUUUCGCAAAGGUUGACCUCGGAUCAGGUAGGAAUACCCGCUGAACUUAAGCAUAUCAUAAGCGGAGGA